GUGAAAGGGUCGUUCGACCCCCAAAUGGGUCUCGACCCACAGGUUGAGAACCGCUGCCUUAAAGAGAAACUGCUGAGAACAUGACAUGCCAAAGAGACAUGAGCGGCAAUAAAGCAUUUUUUCAUUGGCUCCCAGCAAAGAUAUUGAAAUUUACCACACAUCACACCUUUUCAAGCCACUCUGCUAUUAAAUAUACAUAUAUUUUAUUGAUUUCAGAGAGGGAGAGGGAGAGAGAGAGAAACAUCAAAGAUGAGAGAGAAUCAUUGAUUGGCUGCCUCUUGCACGCCCCACACUGGGGAUCGAGCCUGCAACUCGGGCAUGUGCCCUUGACCAGAAUCGAACCCAGGACCCUUCACUCCACAGGCCGACGCUCUAUCCGCUGAGCCAAACCGCUAGGGCCCCUCUGGCAGACAGCUCACCUACCAGCUGGGAUAGCGUUGAGAAAAGAUUAAAAUGCCCACCUUGCCCAGAAAGCUGCUGGUGCCGGCUUGCUUUCCGCUUGCUCAUGCAAUGCUUACUCCGUCACCUACAUGUAUGAAGCACCCACUGUGUGCCAAGCUUCAUGCCGGGUGCGGUGCUUCAAAGAUCUGUAGGACCCAAACUCUGCCUCCCAGACCUCGGCAUCCAACGCCGAAGACGAGCCCUAAGGACGGGGAGCAUGGAGCUCGUUGUUAGGUUACGAAUGCUCAUUUUCAAAACUUCCUCAGUCUUCUCUGACCCUGUGUAUUUCCCUUCAGGGUUUAAUCGCGUCCAGAGCGCAGCCUCUUUCCAACAUCCCUUCCUGCUUCCCCCGCCAGCAUCCCUCCCAAAGAAAAACUACUACCAAAGAUAAGAACUGAAAAAUGGCCCAAAUGCUCUCAUUAUUUCACAAGGAAAAAGAGCAAAGGAAGCGGCAGCCUCAUCCUCCCCCACCCCUGUAACCUCCAGAUCCUUCUCGGGUACCAAGGGGCACACCUCCUGAGCUGGGUGGACGCGGGCCCCUCCUCCUGCCGGCUGGUCCUGGAGGAGCGGUUGCCAGCGCAGCAUCAAGCAGACGCGAUGGACCGGAGGCUCUGGCAGAGCCCACGGAAGCUGCGUUCCUCGGGGAAGGGAGCACUGAGCCAGGGCAGCUGUGCGAGACAGAGAGCCACGUGCGGUCCGCUGUGGUGACAUGAAGACUGGAUUCGUUCACCUCCGGGCUGAAGGGGAACUCUGCCCCCAGAACAUCACAGGCUCCUCCAAAGCCCCGAGACACAACCCGGGACAGUUCAGCUGGGAGGAAACCAAAGCUCCUGUUCAGACAAAAUCUUCCCCAGCACCCCCCGCCCCCUCUCCUCUGUGUCACACACACUGACCGAGAGUCUGCCAUGUUCAGGACAUCGUGCGAGGCUGUGCUAGCCGCUGCCACCCCUCCCACCAAGGGAGGCUUUACAAUGUCAGCGUUUCACGACGACCUCAAAGAGUAAGUGUUUGGGCUGACCCCACAGAGUCAUUUUUUAACAUAUAUUUUUAUGGAUUUCAGAGAGGGAAGGGGAGGGAGAGAGAGAUAGGAAUGUUAAUGAUGAGAGAGAAUCAUUGAUCGGCUGCCUCCUUCAUGCCUCUCACUGGGGAUGGAGCCCACCACCCUGGCAUGUGCCCCAACUGGGAAUCGAACCUGACCUCCUUGUUUGUAGGUUGUCGCUUAGCCGCUGAGCCACGCCAGCUGGGGACACAGUCAUUCUGAGUUGUUUUUUUAUACCCCCUCUGACAUCCUGGGGAGACGGCUCAGCCGGGCUCACGCACUCUUUUUAAAUUCCGUGAGAAGAGCAGUGCUUCACUUCGGGCCUUGGGAGCUUCCCGAGACAGCGCCCGCCCGGGUUCCCACCCUGGCUCUCACAUCAGCUCCUGAAAGGUGGGGGAAGGAAAUAAGCACCACCCAAGGUCGCGGCUGGGAGAGGAAGACGUCAAAGGAAACAGAGAUGCAGGCUUGCCGUUGCCUAGCUCUUCACUGCAUACAUGUGGGAGACAACUGUCUGGCAGCGACAGGAAGUUAGACGGCACUGAGCUGAGGCGGAACUGCAUCGCACCCCUGGACGCUGGCCAGCGCGGAAAUGAAUGACUAAGGGACAGCAGAGACUCCACUUUUGGGAACAGACCUGAAGCUGCCGACCCCCCUGGGACCUGUGUAUCCACGGUUCAUCUCGAGUCCGAGCUCCAAAGCUGUGGGACGAAGCUGGCAACUGUCUCCUCCCGCAGCAAAGAACUUCCAAAUACACGAUAAAUGGCCAUCAAUUGCUCCUCACGUGACAAACCUCUGCUGAGCACUUAGCACGUGACAUGUCAUCCAUCCAAGGUGGUAAAACGCAGGCUCCGUUUUUGAGGACCCCAGGGUGUAGUUGGGACAUAACGGGGUAGAGAGACCUCGCAGUAAGUCAGGUGGGGGACACAGACUCCCGGGGGAGAUGGUGUGGAAGCCCA